GACGAACGCUGGCGGCGUGCUUAACACAUGCAAGUCGAACGGAAAGGCCCUGCUUUUGUGGGGUGCUCGAGUGGCGAACGGGUGAGUAACACGUGAGUAACCUGCCCUUGACUUUGGGAUAACUUCAGGAAACGGGGGCUAAUACCGGAUAGGAGAUCCUGCAGCAUGGUGGGGGUUGGAAAGUUUCGGCGGUUGGGGAUGGACUCGCGGCUUAUCAGCUUGUUGGUGGGGUAGUGGCUUACCAAGGCUUUGACGGGUAGCCGGCCUGAGAGGGUGACCGGCCACAUUGGGACUGAGAUACGGCCCAGACUGCUACGGGAGGCAGCAGUGGGGAAUAUUGCACAAUGGGCGGAAGCCUGAUGCAGCAACGCCGCGUGCGGGAUGACGGCCUUCGGGUUGUAAACCGCUUUCGCCUGUGACGAAGCGUGAGUGACGGUAAUGGGUAAAGAAGCACCGGCUAACUACGUG
rnacentral:rRNA from 1 species